rnacentral:rRNA from 1 species
CAACUUUCAACAACGGAUCUCUUGGUGUCUGG